rnacentral:rRNA from 1 species
UACGAAGGGGGCUAGCGUUGUUCGGAAUCACUGGGCGUAAAGCGCGCGUAGGUGGCUUUUCAAGUCAGGGGUGAAAUCCCACAGCUCAACUGUGGAACUGCCUUUGAAACUGUGAAGCUAGAGUGUCGGAGGGGAUAGCGGAAUUGCUAAUGUAGAGGUGAAAUUCGUAGAUAUUAGCAGGAACACCGGUGGCGAAGGCGGCUAUCUGGACGACAACGUGACACUGAGGCGCGAAAGCGUGGGGA